rnacentral:rRNA from 1 species
UGGCGAACGGGUGAGUAAUGCGUGAGUGACCUGCCCCCUUCUUCGGGAUAAGCCUUGGAAACGGGGUCUAAUACCGGAUAUUCCCAUCACGGGGCAUCUUGUGGUGGGGAAAGUUUUUUCGGUGGGGGAUGGGCUCGCGUCCUAUCAGCUUGUUGGUGGGGUGAUGGCCUACCAAGGCGUCGACGGGUAGCCGGCCUGAGAGGGUGACCGGCCACGCUGGGACUGAGAUACGGCCCAGACUCCUACGGGAGGCAGCAGUGGGGGAUAUUGCACAAUGGGCGCAAGCCUGAUGCAGCGACGCCGCGUGAGGGAUGAAGGCUUUCGGGUUGUAAACCUCUUUUACUAUUGAACAAGGCGCCAUUUUUGUGGUGUUGAGGGUAGGUGGUGAAUAAGCGCCGGCUAACUACGUGCCAGCAGCCGCGGUAAUACGUAGGGCGCGAGCGUUGUCCGGAAUUAUUGGGCGUAAAGAGCUCGUAGGCGGCUUGUCGCGUCUGCUGUGAAAUCCUGGGGCUUAACUCUGGGCGUGCAGUGGGUACGGGCAGGCUAGAGUGCGGUAGGGG